AUGGCGCUGACUGCUUUGAUGAAAAUAGAACUGAGCAAUGCAUAUGGAGGGGUGACAGGAGACCAGAGGGGUGUCAAGGGCCUCUCCUGAGCUGAGAGUGGGAUGAGGAUAAGAAGCCAGCCAGGCCCUCAGCCUAGCGGUGCAGAGAGGACAUGGAUCUUCCCGAGAUGCCCACAGUCUAUGAGAGAGAAAGACCAAGAAACCGCUGGAGGACUGGGACAGAGGAUGGAACUCAGAGGUGAGAGGGUUGGACUCUGGAUGUUUCCUUUGGAAAACUGCAGACAAAUUUCAUAGUGGGAAAUUUCAUCUUUCAUGAAGAGCUUGUAGGCUUCCUGCAACAACCAUGGAAAUGUGUCCACUGGAUCUCUCUCCAAGAAGGAACUUGCCAAUCAGCCAUGAGAAGUGCAGUGAGCUGUCAUUCCCCCAGGUGCAACAUUUAGCCGAGGCCAGGCUCUUCCCAGGAAGACCCCAGCCAAGGACAGAACAGGACUAAAUGAAGAUCAAGUCUGAAAGUCAUUCACUUUGUCAUCUGUUGGCUCUACCUUUGACUCAAGUGCCAGCCUCUUCAUCUCUCUCCUGGAUUCCUAUAAUACCUUCUCAGCUUCGGCUGUCAUUUCCCCUCCACACACAGCCAGCAUGAGUGACUGCAAAAUCAAAGUCCUGAGCUGGUCUCCCCACUCACUCAAAGGCCCUGUAGGACAGUGUCCCUCUGUGAUGGCAUAGCCACGCUGGCCUCUUGGCUGUUCCUCAGAUAUCCCAUGCUGCUGCCACCUUGAGCACUUGCUGGUUUAUCUGCCUGAUUCAAUGCUCUUCUCCCGACAUUUAUCCACAUGGACCCAUCUGCAAAGUUCUCAAGUUUCUGCUCAGAGUCACCUCAUCAGUCCCAAGAGGAUGUUCCUGGUCAGUCAGCCUUCCAGAUGGUCAUUCAGGGAUCCA
rnacentral:lncRNA from 1 species